rnacentral:lncRNA from 1 species
AACAAAAAAAAGUAUCGACAUAGCACAAGCAUUUGUUUCUCCUCUAGAGGUUUUAACUCUCUGAGUUAUAUCAAAAGAUGUAAACUCCAGUUUCCAUUUGCAAUUUUAACCUUUUCACAACGUUUUCUUACAUUUUUCUUAACUUUUUCAGUUUCACAGAACAAAACAGAGGUACUAGUUGUUCCUAAAAGAUUUUCGACGUGGCAACAAUGUAGAAGGGGAUGCCAAAAAGUAAUGUGGACAUUCUUGUUCCCCAGAAUUGUCUUUUUCCUCGUGAGAUGGUGAAGGUUUGGAAAGGACAAGUAAAAGCUGCUAGCUACACUUGCGUUUCAUAUCUUCCCAAGACACAUGAUCAUUAUGACUUUUGAGGUUUUUUUUUUUUAUUCACACUAUUUAUAUAUAUGGCUUUGUUACUUGUUAAUGUCGACAACUUAAAAAAAAAUUACUUUUAAUUAUUUUUCAUUUAUUUAGUGUAUUUUUUAAUAAGAGGCAAUACUACACUAUUAUGAGGGAGUUUAGAAAUUUUGAGUAGUGAAAUAUGUACCAUAAAUUGCAUCA